CUACCUGUCAAAGAAAUUAGACCCAGUGGCUGCCGGGUGGCCCCCUUGUCUCCGAAUGAUUGCAGCCACGGCCCUGAUGGUACAAGAUGCUGACAAACUUGUCAUGGGUCAAGAAUUACGGGUCAGUACCCCACAUGCCAUCGAGGGUGUACUCAAACAGCCACCUAAUCGAUGGAUAAGUAAUGCCCGGCUCACCCACUACCAAGGACUACUACUAAACCCUCUCAGGAUAACUUUUCUACCCCCAACAACCUUAAACCCUGCCUCGCUGCUGCCCAACCCGGACCUGGACGCCCUGCUCCAUGAUUGCACCGAGAUACUAACUCAGGUGCACGGAGUUCGAGAGGACCUGCAGGACCGGCAACUUCCUGAUGCAGACCUCGUCUGGUUCACUGACGGGAGCAGCUUCAUACACCAAGGCCAGAGGUACGCUGGAGCAGCAGCGACUUCAGAGACUGAGGUAAUCUGGGCGGAACCCCUGCCCCCGGGGACAUCGGCCCAGAAGGCCGAACUGAUAGCGCUCACCCAAGCUCUUACCCUAGGGGCAGGGAGGAAACUGACAGUAUCACAGACAGCCGAUAUGCUUUUGCUACAGCGCACAUACAUGGGGCCAUUUACAGGGAGCGAGGGUUACUAACGGCUGAAGGAAAAGAGAUAAAAAAAACAAGCAAGAGAUCCUAGCCCUGUUAACAGCCCUGUGGAGACCAGAAAAAUUGGCUAUUGUACAUUGCCCAGGGCAUCAGAAACCAACCACUCCAAUUGCUCAAGGCAACUUUCUGGCAGACCAAACUGCAAGGAGUGUGGCAAAGGCUCCCAGCCAACUCCUUGCACUCCAGCUCCCUGAUCUGGGCCCCCAGGACUUGCCAUAGCUCCCUGAUUAUUCAGAACAAGAUCUCCAGUGGAUCGACAAACUUCCCCUGAAACAGAUCCAGAAUGGGUGGUGGACUGAUACUAAUGACCAAACCAUCCUACCAGAAAAAUUAGGACAACAAGUGUUAGAACACAUCCACCGAACCACCCACCUGGGUGCCCGGCGGAUGAUAGACCUGAUCAGACGCUCCAAGCUCAAAAUCAGACAUAUAGCCGAGACGGCCAGCAGCAUCGUGACAAAUUGCAAAGUCUGCCAGCUUAACAACGCCUACCCCCAAUCCCAGGCUGCAAUGGGAACAAGGCUCAGGAGAACUAGGCCCGGUAUCUACUAGGAAGUAGAUUUUACUGAGAUAAAGCCAGGAAAAUACGGUUAUUGGUACUUACUUGUCUUUGUAGAUACUUUUUCAGGGUGGAUUGAAGCAUUCCCGACCAAAAGGGAGACUGCUCAGGUUGUAGCAAAGAAAAUUCUGGAAGAUAUCCUCCCCAGGUAUGGCUUCCCCGUCCAGAUAGGGUCAGAUAAUGGGCCGGCCUUCGUUGCUAAGCCUUGCAGAAAAUUCAUCAGGAAAUCUGGCCCAAGCUGAAAGAACUAUAUGAGACCGGUCCCCCACCAACACCCCAUCCGUACCAGCCGGGAGACUGGGUCCUGGUUAAGCGACACCGACAAGAGACCUUAGAACCCAGGUGGAAGGGACCACUCCAGGUACUCCUAACCACACCCACCACCCUGAAGGUAGAAGGCAUCGCGUCGUGGAUCCACUACACCCACGUCAAACCAGUAGACCCGACCUCCGACCUUCUUGGACCAAUCACGGCAGCGACUGAAGCACCAGCCACGUGGACUGUGGACAGAGCUAAGAACAAUCCCUUAAAACUCACCCUGCGCCGGCAGCAUAGCUCACUGCAAACAUGCAGCUAGGUAGUCUAACCCUAACUUUAGUCGCCCUAGUGGCUGCUGGGGCAAACACAAAACCAGUUCCUAACCCCUUUGUCUGGAGAUUCUGGCUUUAUAAAAACCAAACCCACCCUGGGCAACCUCAUAAGCCUGGGAAAUUAUUGGCCAGUGCUGGUUGCCCCUCCUCAUGGUGCAGCGGCCCAAUUUUACUAAAUUUCACUAGGACGUUGUCACGAUACCCCAUUAUAUGUUUUGAGUUUGAUCAGACUGAAUACAAUUGUAAACACUAUUGGUGGCACCAAAACGCGGGCUGCCCGUACAGCUAUUGUAAAAUGCAUUCCCCUAGGAAUUGGGUGGAACCGGGAAAAAAACUUUUAUAGAGGUGAGGAUAAAAUUUAUACUUGGAUAGUUAAAGACCCAUGGAACUCACACUGGACCACGCCCAGUAUGAGGCCAUAUAUUACUCGUCCUCAUCCACAUGGCCUAGUAGCCAUCUCUAUCUGUGGCGUGGCCUAGUCCAGGUGAGGCCUCUCGUUCAUGGAGAAAUCCAAUGACAGGAAAGCAGGUUGACGCAAAAUCUACGUCCCUUUUCCUGGUUAGAAUUGUUACAGGAAGGAAUAGAGCUUGCUAACCUUACAGGACUUCACAGCUUGUCUGGCUGCUUUCUGUGUGCCACCCUAGGGCGUCCGCCGCUAACCACUGUCCCUCUGCCAUGGGGAUCCUCUACCUCUACCCAAGCUAACAACCUCCAGAAUCUCUCAUAUGCCCCUAUUCCUAAUGUGCCACUGUACCUGAAUCCCAGUCAGGAAAAGUUUCCCUACUGUUUUUCAGGCACUAACUCCAGCCUCUGCAACAUCACUGCCACGCCCCCUAGUACCACCCUAAGGGCUCCGCCGGGCAUAUUCUUUUGGUGUAAUGGAACAUUAUCUAAGAACCUAUCUGGUCCCUCUGUUACCGACCUACUGUGUCUUCCUGUCACAUUAGUUCCCCGGUUAACUCUACUAACUGCCGGCGAGUUCCUGGGGCACACAGGUAACUGGACUAGUACUGCUAUUCACCCAGCCCCUAGACCGAGACCUGCUCGAGCCAUAUUUCUCCCCCUCAUUGCGGGAAUCUCCCUCACCUCAUCCCUCAUUGCGGCCGGACUGGCGGGGGGAGUCCUAGGUCACACCCUCAUAGAAAGCAACAAGUUGUACCAACAAUUUGCCGUUGCUAUGGAGGAGUCAGCUGAGUCCCUUGCCUCCCUUCAGCGACAGCUCACAUCCCUAGCUCAGGUAACCUUGCAGAACCGGAGGGCCCUAGAUCUACUCACUGCUGAAAAAGGUGGUACAUGUAUGUUCCUAAAGGAAGACUGUUGUUUCUACAUAAAUGAAUCAGGGCUUGUAGAGAACUGGGUCCAGCAGUUAUGCAAGUUAAGCAUAGAAGUAAAAAAAUGGCAGUUUGCUUCAGCUGCAGACCAACUUGCAUAACUGCUGGAAUUCCUCUAUGUUUUCCCUGUUAGCCCCCUUCCUUGGACCCCUGCUAAGUCUACUAUUUCUGCUUACCGUAGGACCUUGUGUUGUUAACAGAAUUUUGCAGUUUGUCAGGGAGAGGUUUGACACCGUACAGCUCAUGGUCCUCAGAGCCCAAUACCAACCUGUAAAUGCUGAAACAGAAUCAGACUUAUAAGACCCAAGAUUGGCUCUAGAGGUACCUGAGAAAAGGGGGGAAUGAAA